AUUGAACGCUGGCGGCAGGCCUAACACAUGCAAGUCGAGCGCGCGGCGGACGGGUGUGUAUAAUAUGGGGGACUGCCCGAGAGAGGGGGAUAACAACUGGAAACGGUAGCUAUAACCGCAUACUAUCGGAGGAACCCACAUGGGAUUAGCUAGUAGUUGUGGGAAUGGGUCCCCCAGGCGACGAUCCCUAGCUGGUCUGAGAGGAUGAUCAGCCACACUGGAACUGAGACACGGCCCAGACUCCUACGGGAGGCAGCAGGGGGGAAUAUUGCACAAUGGGCGCAAGCCUGAUGCAGCCAUGCCGCGUGUAUGAAGAAGGCCCUAGGGUUGUAAAGUACUUUCAGUCGGGAGGCGUUACCGGCAGAAGAAGCACCGGCUAACUCCGUGCCAGCAGCCGCGGUAAUUC
rnacentral:rRNA from 1 species